UUGUGGCUGGACGAAGGAGUGAGUCUGGAGCUGAGAUUUAAGGUUGGGGUGUUCAGGCUGGAGUUCGGGGCUGGGAAAGGGGACAGGGACUGGGUCUUGCGAGGAACCCAACCAAACAGGAGCUUAUGGUUUUCUCCUCUCCUUGACAGAGAUGUGGAUCAAGAAGGAGGAGUCGCCAGAUUUCGGUUUCCCGGACCGGACAUUUGCCAUCUUUGUGGUGGAAUACUGGCAGAAAGAUGGGCUUGGACUCCAGCCACAGGCACAAAUAAUUUAGCCAACAAGUGAAUUCACAGACAGACAGACUGGCGAUCACUGCAGCAUCAGGGAGCAGCAGAUUUUCACUCGCGGGGAUUUGCGGACGGAGGUUACCUGUCAUGCUGCUUAAUACUGUGAUGGAGUGAGGAGGCGACAGGCCAGUAUUUCGUGCACCCCCCCCCCCCCCAUCCCUCUCUGUCCUCGCUUCGUGGAACAGAGCAGGUGAGAAACAUUAACAGAGGCAGCAGCAGCAGCAGCAGCUGUGGCCCUCUGCUCCACACAUGUGAGCCAGGAUAUGAGCUAGUUCGAGCUCGCCCACUCUCAAACAUCGGUCAUUACUGUUAACACUCUCCUCUCUGAAGCAAAGAGUGUGUAGGAGAAAAAAAAGGCUGAAACGAGGUGGAAGCAACACAAACCGUUGCUUUGAAUUCCAUGCACUUUAUUCUAAAGUAUGCUGUGAACAGUUAUCAUUAGCUUUAGUGCAGGGGUUCGAAAACAUUUAGACUUGUGACCCCUUAAAACCAAACUCUUCCUACUCAUGUCACAGGUUGCAGAGAGUUGUACGCUUUGUUUUGUUUCUUUAAUUUGAAACAUCUUUGUUUUCACAACUAAAUAGUUACUCAGUAGAGAUCAUAACUCCGCCUUAUGAAAAACCUUUAAAUUCACUAGAUCUGUAUUUUCAUUUGAAUCUGCACAAAAUAUCAGUCUCGUAAAUAUGUGCGUUUGAAAAAAAAAACCCAUUAAUUAUUCUCUGUGAAAUAAAGGACAAUUAUAAAAAACACCAUAUUUCAGAAUGUUAAAAAAUAGUGAAUAUCUAAACUGGAUCCACACCAAAAAUGGAUUUGUUCUUCCCAAGGUAAGGACCGACCCCUCCACAACAUUUCAUUGAAAUCUGUUGAGCAGUUUUUGCAUAAUCCUGCUAACUAACAAAAGAAUGCCGAGGAAAACAUAGGUUAUAAAAGUACUUCUCCAUAACACUAUCUUCCAGCUUUCUUCAUGGGUUGACUGAAUGUCUACUGUUUGGUCUGGAGUUUUUUCAAAUGGACCCUAUUAAAUGAAUAGAACAUUGCAUUUUAAAGCCGUUGAGGUUGAACUAGUUUCUAUAAAAUCCUCAUUAUCACGGUGCUCUUUAAAUUGCCUUCUGGUUGCAUUUGAAUAUGAAAACAUCUUGGUUGUAAAAUUUGUUUAGCAUCAUUUGAAUUCCCCUUCAGCUGGAGCCGUGAACCGGAUGACCCAGUCGUCACAUUGUGUUCCCGAGCACAAAGACGCCAGUCACAUGGGGGGAGCUGUCCCAGAGGAGAGAGGCGUGUGUGUGUGUGUGUGUGUGUGUGUAUUUGUGUUUCUGUGAAUCAUAACUGCUGUUUUGUAUUCAGCGAAGUGUGUUGAAGCGGCGUCACCUGCGAGAACAGGGGUCCUGAAGGGACUCUUGUUUUUAAAGACUGUCCUUUGGGGUGAGGUAGUAGGUUGUAUAGUUUUAGGGUCAUACCCUUCCUGUCAGAUAACUAUACAAUUUACUGUCUUUCCUGAAGUGGCUGUAAUGUCAUCAGAUGCCAGUGUUGAAGCUGUCGGAUCUGGAACAACUCGAUGGAAUGUGGGGUAAACGCUUCUCACUGCUUAGAAGAUAACUACAUUUAAUAAUCACAGGUUGCAUGGGCUUGUAGUUAUUGUUUGUCUGUCAUGAUUUUCAGAUUCUGUACUUCUAAGAAAAAAAUGAUUCAAAGUGUAGUCUUUCUGGUAAAAAUGAUUAAAAAGUGAAUGUUGUGUAAACUUUUACAAACACCUGUUCUCAUCUGACUGUCACCCUUUGUCCUUUUUUCAUGUUUCUGUCUAUUCAACAGUUUAUUGUCCAUCUUUAAUCAUCAGUCUUCAAAGUUGUGCUCUCAUAUUUUGUAUUGCUAGUGUUUCAGAAAUAAAAAUGAGAGGUUUAUUUUCAAAAUGAAAUGUAUUUAGUAUUAUAAAAUGAUGUCUUUGUUAUGUCACUCCACCAUUAUGCUCUCAAAUGUUGUGGCAAAGCAAAACUCGCCGCCCUGUAGGAUCACUCUGAUGUCUGUACGGGGUGAGGUAGUAGGUUGUGUGGUUUCAGGGUAGUGAUUUUGCCCAAUCAGAAGAUAACUAUACAACAUACUGCCUUCCCUGAAGGGCAGCAAUACGUCACCAAACAGACAACAGGGGGCGUCAUGUUCACAAAAGAUAAAAACUCCCAGGAUGAGUGAAGCAAACCGGGUCAAACGUCCAGGUCAUGAGCUUUUACCUGGACCAGCCACAGCAGCAGAGAGGACGACAGGUAAAGUCUGUUCAUGUGUGGAAGUUGUAGUUUUUUAUUUCUGCUUCAAACUAUAAUAAAAGCUAAGAAAUAA